GUCUACAGCCAUGCUACCCUGAACACACCCGAUCUCAUCUGAUCUCAGAAGCUAAGCAGGGUUGGGCUUAGUUAGUACUUGGAUGAGAGACCACCUAGGUGCUAUAGGCU
rnacentral:rRNA from 1 species